rnacentral:rRNA from 1 species
GGCGGACGGGUGAGUAACGCGUGGGCAACCUGCCUUACACAGGGGGAUAACAGUUAGAAAUGACUGCUAAUACCGCAUAAGACCACAGUACUGCAUGGUGCAGUGGUAAAAACUCCGGUGGUGUAAGAUGGGCCCGCGUCUGAUUAGGUAGUUGGCGGGGUAACGGCCCACCAAGCCGACGAUCAGUAGCCGACCUGAGAGGGUGACCGGCCACAUUGGGACUGAGACACGGCCCAGACUCCUACGGGAGGCAGCAGUGGGGAAUAUUGCACAAUGGGGGAAACCCUGAUGCAGCGACGCCGCGUGAGCGAUGAAGUAUUUCGGUAUGUAAAGCUCUAUCAGCAGGGAAGAAAAUGACGGUACCUGACUAAGAAGCCCCGGCUAACUACGUGCCAGCAGCCGCGGUAAUACGUAGGGGGCAAGCGUUAUCCGGAUUUACUGGGUGUAAAGGGAGCGUAGACGGCGGUGCAAGCCAGAUGUGAAAGCCCGGGGCUCAACCCCGGGACUGCAUUUGGAACUGUGCUGCUAAAGUGUCGGAGAGGCAGGCGGAAUUCCUAGUGUAGCGGUGAAAUGCGUAGAUAUUAUGAGGAACACCAAUGGCGAAGGCGGCCUGCUGGAC